UACAGAGGGUGCGAGCGUUGUUCGGAAUUAUUGGGCGUAAAGCGCAUGUAGGCGGGUGUUUAAGUCGCGUGUGAAAGCCCCAGGCUCAACCUGGGAAGUGCGCGCGAAACUGGAUACCUUGAGUGCUGGAGAGGGUGGCGGAAUUCCCGGUGUAGAGGUGAAAUUCGUAGAUAUCGGGAGGAACACCAGAGGCGAAGGCGGCCACCUGGACAGACACUGACGCUGAGACGCGAAAGCGUGGGGAGCAAACAGG
rnacentral:rRNA from 1 species